rnacentral:rRNA from 1 species
GUUGUUGCAGUUAAAAAGCUCGUAGUUGAAUUUCGGGAUCAAUAUUUCGGUCAUGCCGUUGGUAUGCACUGUUAUCAUUGAUUUCUCACCUUCUAAAGAACCGUAAUGCCAUUAAUUUGGUGUUACGGGGAAUUAGGACUGUUACCUUGAAAAAAUUAGAGUGUUUAAAGCAGGCUCACGCUUGAAUACAUUAGCAUGGAAUAAUGAAAUAGGACAUCCGAUUCUAUUUUGUUGGUUUCUAGGAUCGAUGUAAUGAUUAAUAGGGAUAGUUGGGGGCAUUAGUAUUCAAUUGUCAGAGGUGAAAUUCUUGGAUUUAUUGAAGACUAACUACUGCGAAAGCAUUUGCCAAGGAUGUUUUCAUUAAUCAAGAACGAAAGUUAGGGGAUCGAAGACGAUCAGAUACCGUCGUAGUCUUAACCAUAAACUAUGCCGACUAGGGAUCGGAUGAUGUUAAUUUUUUAAUGACUCAUUCGGCGCCUUACGGGAAAC